GCAAUGACGCAGCUAGUGAGGUUCUAACCGAGGCGCGUCAAUUGCUGGUUGAAAACUAUUUCCAAACCCCCUCUUGGGCCUGGGCUUGGCCCAGUGCCCUCGAGAAUUUCUGGAAGGGCUCCCUCCGGGGCUUGGAAAGGCAGCAAACAAGGGGAUUGCAGAGGCAGGUAUGGCGACAACAGCCACCCAUUUCACAGGGAGCAGAAGCAGCCGUGGAGGCAGGUAAGGCGACAAGCACUCGAAAGAUGAUGCUAUGUGGACACCAACUAUAAUAAUUGUUGCUUAUUUUAAGAAAUAAGGUAUUCGAUUAUUAAGAAACAGAACAGGAUAUAAUAAUCUCCUAUUCCCAAUGCCAAAGCAUUUAUUUUUAAUCACCUUUUAAAAUUCCAAAAUUUGAGCUGAAACAGAUUCAAACUUCUAUCCUUUUAAAUUGAUUUUAUUUAAUUUGAAAUCUAGAAACCAUAUUUAAAUCA